AACGAACGCUGGCGGCACGCCUAACACAUGCAAGUCGAACGAGACCUUCGGGUCUAGUGGCGCACGGGGGCGUAACGCGUGGGAACCUGCCCUUAGGUUCGGAAUAACUCCCCGAAAGGGGUGCUAAUACCGGAUAAUGUCUUCGGACCAAAGAUUUAUCGCCUUUGGAUGGGCCCGCGUUGGAUUAGCUAGUUGGUAGGGUAAAAGCCUACCAAGGCGACGAUCCAUAGCUGGUCUGAGAGGAGGACCAGCCACACUGGGAAUGAGACACGGCCCAGACUCCUACGGGAGGCAGCAGUGGGGAAUAUUGGACAAUGGGCGAUAGCCUGAUCCAGCCAUGCCGCGUGAGUGAUGAAGGGCUUAGGGUUGUAAAGCUCUUUUACCCGGGAUGAGAAUGACAGUACCGGGAGAAUAAGCUCCGGCUAACUCCGUG
rnacentral:rRNA from 1 species